GUCAUCGUGAGGUGGGGUCUGGAGGAAGCCCGAGGCGAGGCCUGGGUACCGAGGAACACGAACCGUGUAUGAGGCGUGCUGGCCGGGUGAGCCUGCAGCGGAAGGUGAAGCCCGUCUCCACCAAGAAGGCCAGUGCGUAAACGUGGCGGGGAUCCAGGGACAGUGAUCGUU
rnacentral:ncRNA from 2 species